GCUGCACCGUUUAGAUCGGGAUACUCAUCAUAAAAAUCGAAAACCGAGACAGCUUCUCAUGUCAAUGGCGGGCCACAUACCUUUAGGGUAGCAUUGAAAUGCCGGUGGAUUACAGCGAUAUGAGCGCACUCAAAUCUUGUCAUAAGGAGUUUUCAUCACAUCAAUGGUGUGGCCCUUUU
rnacentral:sRNA from 1 species